AAAUCAAAUAAGCUUGAUAUCGCUCUCACUCUCUCAGGUGGAAGCACUCUUCAAUUCAUUCCCUUUUACAAUACUCCACUUGAUUGCAAGAAAAGAAUGUUGUCAUUGUUCUCUUCCUCAGCAAUCAAAUUAAGGUAUGCUUUUCAAUUCCCAAAUUCUGUUUCCCACUCCGCUCUCCGUCUUUGCUUCCCUUCAACUUCAUCCCUACACUCUCCCUCUCACUCUCAGCCCCAAUCACUUGAUGAAGCUGUUGAUUCCUUCACUCGCAUGCUCUCUAUGCGUCGCCCUCCGUCCAUCUUCCAAUUCACCAAGAUUUUGGGAUCUCUUGCCAAGACCAACCAUUUUCCCACCGCCAUUUCCCUUUUUCAGCAAUUGCAAGCCAGGGGAAUUGCUCCCAACUUAUUUACUUUGAAUAUCUUAAUCAAUUGUUGCUGUGGCAUGGGUCGUAUGACGCUUGCUUUCUCUGUAUUGGCCAAGAUUUUUAGGAUGGGUUUUCAACCUAAUGCCGUAACGUUGACAACAAUCCUGAAAGGCCUCUGUCUUUCUGGUAAUGUUGAAAAAGCACUGCACUUUCAUGCCACAAUGCUGGCUCAUGGAUUUCAGUUUAAUCAAGUCACUUAUGGGACCUUGAUUAAUGGACUCUGUAAGACCGGACACACAUCUGCUGCUAUUCAAGUUUUGAGAAAGAUCCCACAGUAUGGAAUUGUUCCUGAUGUCGUAAUGUACAGCGCAAUUAUUGAUAGCCUCUGCAAGGUUGCGCUUGUAAGUGAUGCUUUUCAUUUAUAUUCUGAAAUGCUUGCUAAGGGAAUUUCUCCCAAUGUUAUCACUUACAACACUCUAAUUUAUGGAUUGUGCCUUGCGGGUCAACUCAAGGAAGCCGUUCUUUUGCUAAAUGAUAUGAUUCUCAUAAACAUUACUCCUGAUGUUUAUACUUAUAAUACUUUGAUCGAUGGGCUAUGCAAGGAAGGAAAGAUCAAAGAUGCUAAGAAUGUGUUGGGCUUGAUGACAAAACAUGGUGUGAAACCAAAUGUGGUCACUUAUAACAGCUUAAUGGAUGGGCAUUGUCUGGUUAAUGAGGUAAAUAAGGCAAAAUUUGUAUUCAACACUAUGGCCCAAAGCAGAGUGUCACUUAAUGUUCGAAGUUACAGUAUCAUGAUUAAUGGCUUGUGCAAAAGUAAAAUGGUCGAUGAAGCCUUGAAUCUCUUUGAAGAAAUGCGUCGUAAGUACUUGGUUCCAAACACGGUAACUUACAACACUCUAAUUGAUGGCUUGGGAAAAUCAGGGAGAAUCCUUUGUGCCUUUGAGCUUCUUGAAAAGAUGCAUGAUCGAGGUCAACUUGCUAAUAUAGUCACUUACAGUUCUUUGCUGGAUGCUUUGUUCAAUAUCAAACAACAUGACAAGGCACUUAUGUUAUUCAAUCAAAUGAAAGAGAGUGGCAUUGAUCCAGAUAUAUAUACAUACAGCAUACUUCUAGAUGGCCUGUGCAAAAGUGGAAGACUUCAAAAUGCAAAAGAGAUAUUUCAAGAUCUUUUCAUUAAAGGCUAUCGUCCAAAUGUGCGGACAUACACCAUUAUGAUCAAUGGGCUUUGCAAAGAGGGUCUGCUUCACGAAGCAUUGGCACUCAUGACAAAAAUGGAAGACAAUGGUUGCUUACCAGAUGCUGUGACUUAUGAAACAAUCAUUCGUGCUCUUUUUGGAAACGGUGAAAAUGAUAAAGCGGAGAAACUUCUUCGUGAAAUGAUAUCUAGAGGCCUAUUGCAAGGAUAAAAGUUGGGGAAUCACGUGUUAAUAGUGAAGCUUUCCUGCACUCUUAUUGUCUUUCAAUCUUUUCAUUUCCCCCACAUUUAAGUUAUACAUGAGGCAUAAUGUACCAAAACAAUUAACAUGACAAAGAAGAACAAAGGAAAGAAGGGGCAGAACAAUUGCUCUCCCCAAGCCCCAGCUAGGAAGGGUUGCACAUCAGCCAGGGGGAUAAUCAUGGACGACCCGCUUAGCAGUUUCGUCGACAAAGGGCAGCCAUCCUGGCAAGUAGAAGGAGAUAGUCAAUAGCAGUCAAACGGACCUGUGGAACUGCGAUUCAAACUUCAAAGUUUAAGGAUUUUGAUCAAACACCAGCCUCUUGUGCAAUCUCCAAGCACCCCAAAGAGUAGCAAGAAACAUUUGCACAUGUUAAUGCUCACAAAAGUUGGAACACUUCAUCAUCAAUUGCAUGUUCCCAUAUAGUCAUGUUAAGAAAAAUAAUAUGAUCAAUCUGAUUUUAAUGAAGUUUAUUCACUUCUUUUUGUCAUACUGAUCUUACAAAGACAAGUUGUAUGCACAUAUUAUGUUACAAGAUUAAUAAUGGCCUAUUAGAUUUUAUCA